rnacentral:rRNA from 1 species
CCUACGGGAGGCAGCAGUGGGGAAUAUUGGGCAAUGGGCGCAAGACUGACCCAGCAACGCCGCGUGAAGGAAGAAGGCUUUCGGGUUGUAAACUUCUUUUCUCAGGGACGAAGAAAGUGACGGUACCUGAGGAAUAAGCCACGGCUAACUACGUGCCAGCAGCCGCGGUAAUACGGCGGUGGCAAGCGUUAUCCGGAUUUGUUGGGUGUAAAGGGCGUGUAGGCGGGAGCGCAAGUCAGAUGUGAAAACUCAGGGCUCAACCCUGAGCCUGCAUUUGAAACUGGGUGUCUUGAGUGCUGGAGAGGCAAGCGGAAUUCCGGGUGUAGCGGUGAAAUGCAUAGAUAUAGGGAGGAACACCAGUGGCGAAGGCGGAUUGCUGGACAGUAACUGACGCUGAGGCGCGAAAGCGUGGGGAGCAAACAGGAUUAGAUACCCUGGUAGUC